AAAAUGACUCUCGGCAACGGAUAUCUCGGCUCUCGCAUCGAUGAAGAACGUAGCGAAAUGCGAUACUUGGUGUGAAUUGCAGAAUCCCGUGAACCAUCGAGUCUUUGAACGCAAGUUGCGCCCGAAGCCAUUAUGCCAAGGGCACGUCUGCCUGGGCGUCACG
rnacentral:rRNA from 11 species